CCUACGGGCGGCUGCAGUGGGGAAUAUUGCACAAUGGGCGCAAGCCUGAUGCAGCCAUGCCGCGUGUGUGAAGAAGGCCUUCGGGUUGUAAAGCACUUUCAGCGGGGAGGAAGGCGUUAAGGUUAAUAACCUUGUCGAUUGACGUUACCCGCAGAAGAAGCACCGGCUAACUCCGUGCCAGCAGCCGCGGUAAUACGGAGGGUGCAAGCGUUAAUCGGAAUUACUGGGCGUAAAGCGCACGCAGGCGGUCUGUCAAGUCGGAUGUGAAAUCCCCGGGCUCAACCUGGGAACUGCAUUCGAAACUGGCAGGCUAGAGUCUUGUAGAGGGGGGUAGAAUUCCAGGUGUAGCGGUGAAAUGCGUAGAGAUCUGGAGGAAUACCGGUGGCGAAGGCGGCCCCCUGGACAAAGACUGACGCUUAGGUGCGAAAGCGUGGGGAGCAAACAGGAUUAGAUACCCGUGUAGUC
rnacentral:rRNA from 1 species